rnacentral:lncRNA from 1 species
UGUACGCAAUCGCGAUUCAUUGGCAUGUUUCUUACAUUUUACUGACCGAUAUUGCGACCUAUUCCCCGCGAUCGCAUAGAACACUACUGUAGAAAAAAACCAGCAGUUAAAAAUUGCAUCAAAAUGAUCCGAAACCACCCCGAAACUCACCCGAGGUUCUCGGGACAACAACUAAUGGUACAUAUAAGUUCUAUUACAUUAUUCAAACUGGCUCGAGCCAUCAAAACACUACCAUUAACAUCAAAAUCCACUAAUUUUCUCAAAUAAAUGUUUCUUAAAAACUUUCGAAUUGUACAUUCGAUCAAAAACCCGACCCAACGAUGUCCGAAUGAUUUGAAAAUUUGCACGCAUAUCCAACAUCUCCUAAUGGAGCUAUUGCAACUCUCGGAAUUUCUUUACGACCCUUGGAUAAAAAUCUCACCUAUCAACCAGAAAUCGCCAAAAUACAAACUUCGCCAAAAUAGGAUAACUUCUUCACUGGACCUCCAAAAUUACUUCCGAUUGCGCUCCUAGGCCUUAUAUAACCUCCCGGAGCUAACCGAAUAAUUGGAAUUCAAUUCCGAGCCCUCUAACUCACAAGUCAACAUCCGGUUGACUUUUACAACAUAAGCCUUCCUAAAAGAGACUAAGUGUCUCAUUUCUUAAUAAAAUCACUCCAAUUAAAUUCUAAUGCAUCCAAUAUCGAUAAUGAAACAUAAGAAAGCAGAAAAAUGGGAGGAACGGGGUAAUAACUCAUGAGACGACGGGUCGGGUCGUCACAUUCUCCCUAACUUAAACAAACGCUCUUCCUCGAGCGUACUCAGAGUUAUUCUAAAAGUCAACCAAUCGCUGGAUAACCAUAACAUGAAUAUAUCGGGGGGGGGGGGN